rnacentral:lncRNA from 1 species
AGCCAUAGGUUCUGGAGUCAGCCAUUAGCCAAGCCUGACUACUGCAUAUCUCUACCUAACUGCUGCCUCAUCUAUCAUUUGAGGAGAAUGACAUCUACCCCCGGGGAUGUUGGGAAAGCAAAGACAUACUCUGAUAAAGCAGCUGCAGUUCUUAUAAAAUCCAUUGGAAUAAAAGACACACUCAGAUCUGAACAAGACACUGGUUGUCUAUCUGGUUCAGCCACAAAACUGGAAAUUAAGUGACUGAAAAGACCUACAUUAGCACCUGUUUUUGCUAACUGAAAGAAAUCCAAGGAGGAUAUUCGCUUUCACGAAAAAAACUGAAAAUAGCGCUCAGCUUUUGUUUUACGAGCUGUUAGAGCCCUUAUAGAGGCAGCACACAUCCCCAGCUGCGAGAGUGGAGCCUCCACGCUCCUUCCCUGGAAAUUGCACUCAGUGUCUCAGCAUCAAGCCGCCAGAGCCUUGAACUGUGUCUGUGAGCAUCUGUGCUUUAUCUCCACUUAUUUCAGUGGAUUAUUUUUUGGCUCUGGGGACAAAAAAAUUUUUCCCAUGAAGAAAGAAGAAAAUAAGAUGAUAAUCAUUGUUCAGAGAUUGUGAUGAGCCAGGCCAAAGAGAAAGUUUUCUCCAAAGGAAGAGAUCUCUUCUUGACUUAGCCUGGUGCCCUGAGGAUAAGCACGUGCUUUGUAUUGUGCUCACCACAAUUCAAAACCUGUUUAUGUUUCACACUCCUCAUCUCCACCAGGAUGAUAUUUAGACUGCACGAUGCUGCCAGAAGGCCUGUUGACGUAAUUGCCCAUUAUACCUUAAGCAGCUUUCCAAAACUACCUAUGCAUUAGAAAAGAAAUACUACCCAGAAGAAUCAAGUAUAUCUAGGUUCCACACACAUUUUCAUAGUUUCUCCUAGAAGAAAUGGAUUUUUGAAAGCCUGGAGGAUGUUGUGCACAGCAAAUCAAAGAUUGGAAGGAUUGCCUAAAUAGAGUCCCUCUCUUGUGAAUUCUCGCAAUGAGGCAGAUGAAAGACAUGAUGCUGGAGUCUCGUCAAGUGCUUCCAGUGAGAAUGGCGAAGAGCCCGAACAAGACUGCAAAUGGUAAUUCAAAUUUCCUCUCCCCCGUGACCUUCAGAAAAAUGCGCAGUCCCAGGAGUAUGUUAUUACCAAGUGCAGAAGAAGUAACAGUGCCUCUGUUCAGAGGGAGGGAAAAGAUGAGUUUUCAUUGACUACUCUUCAUAAUUUUCUCAAAAAAGAUGAUAAACAAAAUUCAUUAAGAACAUUCUCUGAAUGCUUACAGUGAUAUUUUAUGGAGAAUAAAACCCUUAA